CCAGGCGGCUUCAGCUUUCAUCCUUUCUUUUUUCCCUUGCAGGCCCCUUUGUGUGACUAAAUUUGGCAAGAAUAUGGAUCCGAGCCAGUGUUUCCACGUGUGCUUCCAGCUCCCAGCUGAGAAGGCCAAGGGUUCUCUUCCGGGAAAACCAGUUCGGCUAUUAAGGAAAGCUCUCAACAAGGAGGAGAGCAAGAGAAGGCAGGGUUUCAGAGAGAAUAGCUGUGCCCCGUCAAAGCGAACCGGGUUCCACACAGACAUGGGAUAGUACACAGGACAAAGGGGCUGCGUAAAACCCAUUAGGAGAACGCGAAUCUAGUUUACUCAUCCAGACUGAACAUGUCACAUUAGCAGCUUCUUGACUCAAGGUAAGGCAAACAGAUGGAAAGAACAUGAGACUAUUCCACA
rnacentral:lncRNA from 1 species